CCUACGGGAGGUAGCAGUGGGGAAUCUUGCGCAAUGGACGAAAGUCUGACGCAGCGACGCCGCGUGAGGGAUGAAGGGCUUCGGAUCGUAAACCUCUGUCAGCAGGGAAGAACGGUCACUGUGCUAAUCAGCAGUGAUUUGACGGUAACUGAGGAGUAAGCCACGGCUAACUACGUGCCGGCAGCCGCGGUAAUACGUAGGUGGCAAGCGUUAUCCGGAUUUAUUGGGGGUAAAGGGCGUGUAGGCGGGAAAGCAAGUCAGAUGUGAAAACCAUGGGCUCAAACUGUGGCCUGCAUUUGAAGUGGUUUUGCGUGAGUACUGGAGAGGCAGACGGAAUUCCGAGUGUAGCGGUG
rnacentral:rRNA from 1 species